GAUCUAAAGAAAACGGCGAAUUU
rnacentral:snRNA from 1 species